GACGAACGCUGGCGGCGUGCUUAACACAUGCAAGUCGAGCGGAAAGGCCCUUCGGGGUACUCGAGCGGCGAACGGGUGAGUAACACGUGAGUAACCUGCCCCAGACUUUGGGAUAACCCUCGGAAACGGGGGCUAAUACCGGAUACGACACAGCUUCGCAUGGGGUCUGUGUGGAAAGUUUUUCGGUUUGGGAUGGGCUCGCGGCCUAUCAGCUUGUUGGUGGGGUGAUGGCCUACCAAGGCGACGACGGGUAGCCGGCCUGAGAGGGCGACCGGCCACACUGGGACUGAGACACGGCCCAGACUCCUACGGGAGGCAGCAGUGGGGAAUAUUGCACAAUGGGCGGAAGCCUGAUGCAGCGACGCCGCGUGAGGGAUGACGGCCUUCGGGUUGUAAACCUCUUUCAGCAGGGACGAAGCGUAAGUGACGGUACCUACAGAAGAAGCGCCGGCCAACUACGUG
rnacentral:rRNA from 1 species